AACGAACGCUGGCGGCAGGCUUAACACAUGCAAGUCGAGCGCCCCGCAAGGGGAGCGGCAGACGGGUGAGUAACGCGUGGGAACGUACCCUUUGCUACGGAAUAGCUCCGGGAAACUGGAAUUAAUACCGUAUGUGCCCUACGGGGGAAAGAUUUAUCGGCAAAGGAUCGGCCCGCGUUGGAUUAGCUAGUUGGUGGGGUAAUGGCAUACCAAUGCGACGAUCCAUAGCUGGUCUGAGAGGAUGAUCAGCCACAUUGGGACUGGGACACGGCCCAAACUCCUACGGGAGGCAGCAGUGGGGAAUAUUGGACAAUGGGCGCAAGCCUGAUCCAGCCAUGCCGCGUGAGUGAUGAAGGCCUUAGGGUUGUAAAGCUCUUUCACCGGAGAAGAUAAUGACGGUAUCCGGAGAAGAAGCCCCGGCUAACUUCGUGCCAGCAGCCGCAGUAAAAC
rnacentral:rRNA from 1 species